AACCAAUCUGUCAUUUUUUUAGUAGACAAUGAAAUGUUCUUGACAACUGGUCUGUGUUUCAGGGUUUUGUCUUGGUCCUACUGACCCCAGUGGAAGUCCAGGCUGCUAAAUGACUCACUCUUACCAUGCUUCAUCCUCGAACAGGUUUUCAACAACUGAAAUAUAUCAUGGGAUUUUGUUGUAAUGCAGGAAAUUGCCUUCACAUUAACAAUCUGCCACUUCUGUAAACAAGAAAUCCACUGAUGUGACAUGUCAGCGCUCAACAGGAGGAGUCCUGGCUACCUUAGCAAACUGAUACAUUCCUCGGUGGAAAACUG
rnacentral:lncRNA from 1 species